GAUUCCCCUAGUAGCGGCGAGCGAAGCGGGAAGAGCUCAAAUUUAUAAUCUGGCACCUUCGGUGUCCGAGUUGUAAUCUCUAGAAGUGUUUUCCGCGUUGGACCGCACACAAGUCUGUUGGAAUACAGCGGCAUAGUGGUGAAACCCCCGUAUAUGGUGCGGACGCCCAGCGCUUUGUGAUACACUUUCAAUGAGUCGAGUUGUUUGGGAAUGCAGCUCAAAUUGGGUGGUAAAUUCCAUCUAAAGCUAAAUAUUGGCGAGAGACCGAUAGCGAACAAGUACCGUGAGGGAAAGAUGAAAAGCACUUUGGAAAGAGAGUUAACAGUACGUGAAAUUGUUGGAAGGGAAACGCUUGAAGUCAGACUUGCUUGCCGGAGCUUGCUUCGGUUUGCAGGCCAGCAUCAGUUUUCCGGGGUGGAUAAUGACGGUUUGAAGGUAGCAGUCUCGGCUGUGUUAUAGCUUUCCGUUGGAUACAUCCUGGGGGACUGAGGAACGCAGCGUGCUUUUUGCGAAAGACUCGUCUUUUUCACGCUUAGGAUGCUGGUGGAAUGGCUUUAAACGACCCGUCUUGAAACACGGACCAAGGAGUCUAACAUGCUCGCGAGUAUUUGGGUGUCAAACCCGGAUGCGCAAUGAAAGUGAAUGUAGGUGGGAACCGCAAGGUGCACCAUCGACCGAUCUGGAUUUUUUAAGAUGGAUUUGAGUAAGAGCGCGUAUGUUGGGACCCGAAAGAUGGUGAACUAUGCCUGAAUAGGGCGAAGCCAGAGGAAACUCUGGUGGAGGCUCGUAGCGGUUCUGACGUGCAAAUCGAUCGUCAAAUUUGGGUAUAGGGGCGAAAGACUAAUCGAACCAUCUAGUAGCUGGUUCCUGCCGAAGUUUCCCUCAGGAUAGCAGAAACUCACAUCAGUUCUAUGAGGUAAAGCGAAUGAUUAGAGGCCUUGGGGUUGAAACAACCUUAACCUAUUCUCAAACUUUAAAUAUGUAGGAAGUCCUUGCUACUUAAUUGAGCGAGGACA
rnacentral:rRNA from 1 species